rnacentral:rRNA from 1 species
CGUAGAUCAGAAUGCUACGGUGAAUACGUUCCCGGGCCUUGUACACACCGCCCGUCACACCAUGGGAGUGGGUUGCAAAAGAAGUAGGUAGCUUAACCUUCGGGAGGGCGCUUACCACUUUGUGAUUCAUGACUGGGGUGAAGUCGUAACAAGGUAACCGUAGGGGAACCUGCGGUUGGAUCACCUCCUUACCUUAAAGAA